UCCGAGUUGACCCCGGCAGUCUCCUAUGAGUCCCCACCAUUACGUGCUGGCAACAUAGGACGAGGGUUGCGCUCGUUGCGGGACUUAACCCAACAUCUCACGACACGAGCUGACGACAACCAUGCACCACCUGUUCACAGACCCUUGCGGACUCCACAUCUCUGUGGGAUUUCUGUGAAUGUCAAGCCUUGGUAAGGUUCUUCGCGUUGCAUCGAAUUAAUCCGCAUGCUCCGCCGCUUGUGCGGGCCCCCGUCAAUUCCUUUGAGUUUUAGCCUUGCGGCCGUACUCCCCAGGCGGGGCACUUAAUGCGUUAGCUACGGCGCGGAAAACGUGGAAUGUCCCCCACACCUAGUGCCCAACGUUUACGGCAUGGACUAC
rnacentral:misc_RNA from 1 species